rnacentral:misc_RNA from 1 species
GUAGGUGAACCUGCGGAAGGAUCAUUAAAAAUGAAGCCGGGAAACCGGUCCUUCUAACCCUUGAUUAUCUCAAUUUGUUGCUUUGGUGGGCCGCGCAAGCACCGGCUUUGGCUGGCGAGAGGCUGCCAGAGUCCACCUAAACUCGUUUAAUUAGUGAUGUCUGAGAAAAAAUAAAUAGCAAAAAACUUUCAACAACGGAUCUCUUGGUUCUG